rnacentral:rRNA from 1 species
AAUCCAGAGAUGGAUUUGUGCCUUCGGGAACUGUGAGACAGGUGCUGCAUGGCUGUCGUCAGCUCGUGUUGUGAAAUGUUGGGUUAAGUCCCGCAACGAGCGCAACCCUUAUCCUUUGUUGCCAGCGGUUAGGCCGGGAACUCAAAGGAGACUGCCAGUGAUAAACUGGAGGAAGGUGGGGAUGACGUCAAGUCAUCAUGGCCCUUACGACCAGGGCUACACACGUGCUACAAUGGCGCAUACAAAGAGAAGCGACCUCGCAAGAGCAAGCGGACCUCAUAAAGUGCGUCGUAGUCCGGAUUGGAGUCUGCAACUCGACUCCAUGAAGUCGGAAUCGCUAGUAAUCGUGGAUCAGAAUGCCACGGUGAAUACGUUCCCGGGCCUUGUACACACCGCCCGUCACACCAUGGGAGUGGGUUGCAAAAGAAGUAGGUAGCUUAACCUUCGGGAGGGCGCUUACCACUUUGUGAUUCAUGACUGGGGUGAAGUCGUAACAAGGUAACCGUAGGGGAACCUGCGGUUGGAUCACCUCCUUACCUUAAAGAA